AGCGUCUAGAAAUCCUGCAGAAUGACUCAUUUGUCAAUGGUACCUUUGCUGUUUUCGAACACGGCUAUAGAGAUGUUCUUAUUUUUCUCUUCUGUCAAUGCAAAUGGGGCAGAACAGGUGGCAGGCCUGGGGUCCAAUUUCUGGGUCUAGAGGCUGCCUCUGUGAGAACACCUUUCGGAAUAUGGUCCUCAGAGCCCCUCAGCGUGAAGGGAGCCAAGAGCAAGGCUGGGGCAGACAUAAUCACAGCAGUCAUCGACUACCAUGUGCCAGGACCCUGGGGACCCCACACCAGCCCUGGAGGCCGGGGCUGAUGCCGGCGUGAAAUGGAUAAACCUCAUUAAGCCAAGACAAGAGAACUGGGUCAUGCCCUGCUGAUGCCAAGCAGGGGCUUGUGAAUGAAGCAGGCUGUUAAAUUUCAGACAUAAGAAAUAAUCUGCUCCUUGCACCCGCCUGAUCACUUUAUUAGCACAAAAGAUAAAUUUAAACCUCUGACUUAUGACAAAAGGAAGUAAGCCUGCACUAUCCUCCUAAUUAAACCAAGAGAAGCCAGCUAGAUCCAAGGACACCAGGCCCACUCAAUUAACAUGUAUUACAAUCAGAAAA